GAUGAACGUUGGCGGCGUGCCUAAUACAUGCAAGUCGAACGGAGAAUUUGAUGUAGCAAUACAUUGAAUUUCUUAGUGGCGAACGGGUGAGUAACGCGUUGGUGACCUACCCCAAAGAGCGGGAUAACGGUUUGAAAAGACCGCUAAUACCUCAUGUGAUCAUAUGGAUUAGAAGCCUAAUGAUUAAAGGAGCUUGCUCCGCUUUGGGAGGGGCCAGCGUACCAUCAGCUGGUUGGUAGGGUAAUGGCUUACCAAGGCUAUGACGGUUAGGGGACCUGAGAGGGUGGCCCCCCAAAUGGAACUGAAACACGGUCCAUACACCUACGGGUGGCAGCAGUAGGGAAUAUUGGUAAUGCGCGAAAGCGUGAACCAGCAACGCCGCGUGUGCGAUGAAGGCCUUCGGGUUGUAAAGUUCUUUUAUAUGUGAGCAGUGCUUCUUAUAUUAACAGUAUGGGGAAGAGAUAUUAGCAUAUGAAUAAGCAACGGCUAACUCCGUGCC
rnacentral:rRNA from 1 species